rnacentral:rRNA from 1 species
CAGUCGCCGCGGUAAGACAGAGGUCCCGAGCGUUGUUCGGAUUCAUUGGGCGUAAAGGGUGUGUAGGAGGUCGGGUAAGUCAGGUGUGAAAUCUCAGAGCUUAACUCUGAAACUGCGCUUGAUACUGCUCGGCUAGAGGAUCGGAGGGGGUAUCGGAAUUUAUGGUGUAGCAGUGAAAUGCGUAGAUAUCAUAAGGAACACCGGUGGCGAAGGCGGAUACCUGGAAGAUUCCUGACUCUGAAACACGAAAGCCAGGGGAGCAAACGGGAUUAGAUACCCCUGUAGUCCCUGUCUCUUAUAA